rnacentral:rRNA from 1 species
CCUACGGGUGGCAGCAGUGAGGAAUAUUGGUCAAUGGGCGCGAGCCUGAACCAGCCAAGUAGCGUGAAGGAUGACUGCCCUACGGGUUGUAAACUUCUUUUAUAAAGGAAUAAAGUGAGGCACGUGUGCCUUUUUGUAUGUACUUUAUGAAUAAGGAUCGGCUAACUCCGUGCCAGCAGCCGCGGUAAUACGGAGGAUCCGAGCGUUAUCCGGAUUUAUUGGGUUUAAAGGGUGCGUAGGCGGGCAUUUAAGCCGGCGGUAAAAUGUCGGGGCUCAACCCCGGCCUGCCGUCGGAACUGGGAGCCUUGAGUGGGCGAGAGGUAUGCGGAAUUCGUGGUGUAGCGGUGAAAUGCAUAGAUAUCACGAAGAACCCCGAUUGCGAAGGCAGCAUACCGACGCCCUACUGACGCUGAGGCACGAAAGUGCGGGUAUCGAACAGGAUUAGAUACCCGAGUAGUC